rnacentral:rRNA from 1 species
GCGAAUGCUGACAUGAGUAGCGAUAAAGGGGGUGAAAAGCCCCCUCGCCGUAAGCCCAAGGUUUCCUACGCAACGUUCAUCGGCGUAGGGUGAGUCGGCCCCUAAGGCGAGGCAGAGAUGCGUAGCUGAUGGGAAGCAGGUUAAUAUUCCUGCACCAUUGUUAGAUGCGAUGGGGGGACGGAUCGCGGAAGGUUGUCCGGGUGUUGGAAGUCCCGGUCCUUGCAUUGGAGAAGGCACUUAGGCAAAUCCGGGUGCGGAAUUCAAGGGUGUGAGGCCAGUCGCUCAGGCGACGAAGCAAUCGGAAGUGGUUCCAAGAAAAGCCUCUAAGCUUCAGUCUAACAAGACCGUACCGCAAACCGACACAGGUGGGCGAGAUGAGUAUUCUAAGGCGCUUGAGAGAACUCGGGAGAAGGAACUCGGCAAAUUGGUACCGUAACUUCGGGAUAAGGUACGCCCUGGUAGCUUGAUCGGCUCGCGCCGAGAGGGUGAAAGGGUUGCAAUAAACUGGUGGCUGCGACUGUUUAAUAAAAACACAGCACUCUGCAAACACGAAAGUGGACGUAUAGGGUGUGACGCCUGCCCGGUGCCGGAAGAUUAAAUGAUGGGGUGCAAGCUCUUGAUUGAAGUCCCGGUAAACGGCGGCCGUAACUAUAACGGUCCUAAGGUAGCGAAAUUCCUUGUCGGGUAAGUUCCGACCUGCACGAAUGGCGUAACGAUGGCCACACUGUCUCCUCCCGAGACUCAGCGAAGUUGAAGUGUUUGU